GAGUUUGAUCUUGGCUCAGGAUGAACGCUGGCGGCGUGCUUAACACAUGCAAGUCGAACGGACGGAUUGGAGCUUGCUCCAUGAAGUUAGUGGCGGACGGGUGAGUAACGCGUGGGUAACCUGCCCUAUGCAGGGGGAUAACGUUUGGAAACGAACGCUAAUACCGCAUAACCUAGUUGGUUCGCAUGAACCGACUAGCAAAGAUUUUAUCGGCAUAGGAUGGACCCGCGUUGGAUUAGCUAGUUGGUGAGAUAACAGCCCACCAAGGCAACGAUCCAUAGCCGGCCUGAGAGGGUGAACGGCCACACUGGGACUGAGACACGGCCCAGACUCCUACGGGAGGCAGCAGUGGGGAAUAUUGCACAAUGGGCGCAAGCCUGAUGCAGCGACGCCGCGUGAAGGAUGAAGGUCUUCGGAUCGUAAACUUCUAUCAGCAGGGAAG
rnacentral:rRNA from 1 species